AUAGUGACGUUUGUAACCGUCUGGCAGUGGGCCGUUCGGGGCCAGAAGAAGUUUGUUUUGAAGAGUAGUGGAGUGGAAUCGUGGCCAUCACCGUGACCUGCCACGUGGAGUCUGUUGCGGGGAGUGGAGCGACAUCCUUUGUCGUGACUUGCCAGAGAGUGGAGGAGCCAUGCGGUAUCCAUCGCAGGAAGUGGAGCAGAGUCAUGGUCAUUAUUAUGGUCUGCCAGGGAGUGAUGGAGCCAUGCGAAUCCAUCGCAGGAAGUGGAGCAGAGUCAUGUCGUUACUAUGGCCUACCAGGGAGUGAUGGAGCCAUGAGAAAUUCAUUGCAGGAAGUGGAGCAGAGUCAUGGCCGUUACUAUGGCCUACCGGGGGGUUCAGACCUGUCGGUCGAAGUUCGGUUGGAGUCCGAUCUCCAUAGAAGCCCAGAUGGAGAUCAUUUGUCGAGGAAUCUCAAUCAAGGCCUGUCUGCAAUAGAAAUCCGAAAGAAAUUCAUCCACAAUGAAUCCGGCAC
rnacentral:lncRNA from 1 species